UACGUAGGGUGCAAGCGUUGUCCGGAAUUAUUGGGCGUAAAGCGUGCGCAGGCGGUUGUGCAAGACAGAUGUGAAAUCCCCGGGCUUAACCUGGGAACUGCAUCUGUGACUGCAUAGCUAGAGUACGGUAGAGGGGGAUGGAAUUCCGCGUGUAGCAGUGAAAUGCGUAGAUAUGCGGAGGAACACCGAUGGCGAAGGCAAUCCCCUGGACCUGUACUGACGCUCAUGCACGAAAGCGUGGGGAGCAAACAGG
rnacentral:rRNA from 1 species